AAAUAACAGACGAUAACGCUAUGCUUUCGAGAGUUUCUACUACAAGUCGUCUGCUACUGUCUUCCAUUUUGUUUUUUUUUUCCCCCUCACUUUUCUAUCUCAAUUUCGUUUCGUUCAAGAUAUAAUUUGGCAACUGCACAAGAAAAACUGAUGCAAAAAAUGUUUUAUAUAUAAAAAAAAAGAAUGAUGUAAUGAAAAGUAACAUAUGGAUUCACGAAAGUGUCGUUAAUAAGGACGUCGUACGGUAAUAAUGCGAUCAUAGAAUAUUAUACGUCUAACGACGAAGUACAGUACUAUAGAAGGUGUCUUGUAUCUUCACUUCUGUUGACUACGGCCAAUAAGAAAUUCGAAGUUUUACAGCUGGAUUUGGAGCAUGGAUCGAAGAAGGAUGGUGAUACGGAAUAUUAAAGACAUUCAAGAUCAUGUUCACAAUAGUCAGAAGGCACUAGGUUAUUAAUAUUUAAAAUGUUUUACCACUCACCAAGAGUACAAGAUAUUAAUGGAUCACCACGAUGAUUCGGUGGGCAACUGCAAACCGGUCUGUGCUGCCAAGGAUAACAGUCGGCAUUUGUUCCGCAACUGCUCGGUAA
rnacentral:lncRNA from 1 species